rnacentral:tRNA from 1 species
AAAAAUUUAGUUAAAUUUAUAACAUUAGUUUGUCAAACUAAAAUUAUUUAUAAAAAUAAUUUUUU